rnacentral:rRNA from 1 species
CCUACGGGUGGCAGCAGUGGGGAAUAUUGCACAAUGGGCGAAAGCCUGAUCCAGCAACGCCGCGUGAGCGAUGAAGGCCUUCGGUACGUAAAGCUCUGUCCUCAAGGAAGAUAAUGACGGUACUUGAGGAGGAAGCCCCGGCUAACUACGUGCCAGCAGCCGCGGUAAUACGUAGGGGGCUAGCGUUAUCCGGAAUUACUGGGCGUAAAGGGUGCGUAGGUGGUUUCUUAAGUCAGAGGUGAAAGGCUAGGGCUCAACCGUAGUAAGCCGUUGAAAAUGGGGAACUUGAGUGCAGGAGAGGAGAGUGGAAUUCCUGGUGUAGCGGUGAAAUGCGUAGAUAUCAGGAGGAACACCAGUUGCGAAGGCGGCUCUCUGGACUGUAACUGACACUGAGGCACGAAAGCGUGGGGAGCAAACAGGAUUAGAUACCCGGGUAGUC